AGCUGGUUCUCAGGAGGUUCUGUGGUUCUUCCUCCUCGGUGGGACUGGCCCACUGACAUACAGACUGUCACACAGGUGAUUCAGGAAGAGACCCAGGAGGAUAUUGUCAAGCCCACCGCACCAGUACAAACUCCACUAUUCCAUGUAGCGGUAAAAAGCCUCACAAACCCUUAAGACAGUUGUUGCCAAAAACAGCAGAAAGAAAAUCUGCAUCUGAAAAAGACCUAAAGACUUGAACAAAAACAUUGUUUACAAUCACAGAGGGCCAAAGUGACUCUCUGACGUAAAGCCUGAAAAAACAGAUUCCUCACUCAUAUGCACUAAUCUGUCACUGUGCACUGGAAUAUUCCUACAAAACAUUGUUCAGUCACUGUUGCCCCCACCUUGACAAACUCCAACAGCCAACCACCCAUUCCACGUCCUCGUACAAAACUGCAUAGGUUUGACAAAGAAGAAGAGCUCAAAGUUCAGACUUGGGUCAAAUUUAUUGAAAACUGAAAAAAAAAUCAGUCAUCUUCACAACAAUUUUACUCUAAUAAGCAUUUUAAGGAACGCCUGGUGGUCUUUAGUGAAAAGGAAAAGUGUGAGGGAAGCAGUUAUACUGUUGACUAUU